AUUGGAGGAACUCAGCUGCUAGCCCGCCCCGGGAUUUAAAGGGCCCGCUCGGCCGCGCCGCCCUGGGAGCCACUGCUGGUCCCGGCCUUGCGGCCUGCGGGGGAGGCUGCCAGGAGGAGGUGGCGACAGUGGCAGCGGUGCGCGUCCCCGGCCCCCAGGACCACGGCUUCCUUUCUGCCAGCUCCAUCUGUCCAUCCAUCUGUGUGGGUCCACAAUGGCCACCUUCAGCCGCCAGGAAUUUUUCCAGCAGCUACUGCAGGGCUGUCUCCUGCCUACUGUCCAACAGGGCCUUGACCAGAUCUGGCUGCUUCUUACCAUCUGCUUCGCCUGCCGCCUCCUUUGGAGGCUGGGGUUACCGUCUUACCUGAAGCAUGCAAGCACCGUGGCAGGUGGCUUCUUCAGCCUCUACCACUUCUUCCAGCUGCACAUGGUUUGGGUCGUGCUGCUGAGCCUCCUGUGCUACCUCGUGCUGUUCCUCUGCCGACACUCCUCCCACCGAGGCGUCUUCCUCUCCGUCACCAUCCUCAUCUACCUGCUCAUGGGUGAGAUGCACAUGGUGGACACCGUGACAUGGCACAAGAUGCGAGGGGCCCAGAUGAUCGUGGCCAUGAAGGCGGUGUCUCUGGGCUUCGACCUGGACCGGGGCGAGGUGGGUGCAGUGCCCUCACCUGUGGAGUUCAUGGGCUACCUCUACUUUGUGGGCACCAUCGUCUUUGGGCCCUGGAUAUCCUUCCACAGCUACCUACAGGCUGUCCAAGGCCGCCCACUGAGCCGCCGAUGGCUGAAGAAGGUGGCCCGGAGCCUGGCGCUGGCCCUGCUGUGCCUUGUACUGUCCACUUGUGUGGGCCCCUACCUCUUCCCCUACUUCAUCCCCCUCGACGGUGACCGACUCCUUCGCAACAAGAAACGCAAAGCCAGGGGCACCAUGGUAAGGUGGCUACGAGCCUACGAGAGUGCUGUCUCCUUCCACUUCAGCAACUAUUUUGUGGGCUUUCUGUCUGAGGCCACAGCCACAUUGGCCGGGGCUGGCUUCACGGAGGAGAAGGACCACCUGGAAUGGGACCUGACAGUCUCUAGACCGUUGAAUGUGGAGCUGCCCCGGUCCAUGGUGGAAGUUGUCACAAGCUGGAACCUGCCCAUGUCUUAUUGGUUAAAUAAUUAUGUUUUCAAAAAUGCCCUUCGCCUGGGGACCUUCUCUGCUGUGCUGGUCACCUAUGCAGCCAGUGCCCUCCUGCAUGGCUUCAGUUUCCACCUGGCUGCUGUGCUGCUGUCCCUGGCAUUCAUCACUUAUGUGGAACAUGUCCUCAGAAAGCGCCUGGCUCAGAUCCUCAGUGCCUGCAUCUUGUCAAAGCGUUGUCUGCCAGACUGUUCACAUCGGCAUCGCUUGGCAUUUAUUGAGCACCUGCUGUAUACUCACCUGGCAUUCGUUUCCCCCACUGAACAUUUAUUGAGCACCUGCUGGUUCUAGGUGCUGGAGACAAAGUGGUGAACUAAAGCAGGCCAAAGUCCUGGCCCUGUGGGACAAAGAUUUUAAUUGGGUAGACAGGAAAGUCAGUCAAGGCUAAGAAUAGCUUGUGAGGUUGCGAGUGGCACUAAGCAUAAGGGGACGCGGAUGGGACAUAUGGUGGUGGUGGUUUCCCUUUUCACUGGAAGGCCAGGAAAGCCUCCCUGGGUGAGGCAACUUUUAAGUUCUUCUAAGUGAAGAAGGGAAGGGAGGGAAACUUCUCAGGAAAAGGGGGUACCCAGUGUAAAAAGCCCCACCCCAACGUGGGCCUCUGAGCAACAGUGUGGCUUGAGCAGAGAGUGAGGGGGAAGGGAAAGAUGGGCCCUCUAGGUCAGGGCGGGGUUUGUUUUGGUUUUGUUGUUGUUUUCAUUCUGUUUGCCAUAAAAAAAAAUGCAGACAACCUCACAUUUGUCUCCCACCCGGCAAAGAUGCUCAUCACCAUAACCCCACAUUCUUGCUCCUCUGCCUGAACGCUCGCAUCUCCCCCAACCUGGACGCCCUCGUGGUUACCAACACCCUCGUCCUUGGAUACCUCUGAGCUCCCAUAAGAGACUCCUUGAACCAUCUCUUUCCUAUCUUGGGGUACCCUGGGCAUCCUGGGACCCACAGUGCCUUGUGUUCCCCCUGGGCUUCCCUACACAGGUGGUGGUGGGGGACAGUGACCAAGUCCAGCUGCCAAAUAUAUCCAUCUGUCCACCACAGGGCCUGGGGGUACGAGCCUUAAACUUGCUCUUUGGGGCCCUGGCUAUCUUCCACCUGUCCUACCUGGGCUCCCUGUUUGAUGUCGAUGUGGACGACACCACAGAGGAGCAGGGCUACGGCAUGGCAUACACUGUCCACAAGUGGUCAGAGCUCAGCUGGGCCAGUCACUGGGUCACUUUUGGAUGCUGGAUCUUCUACCGUCUCAUAGGCUGAGGCAUAUGACCAUCAUAAUCCCCUUCAAUACCCCUCCUUAGGGUGCCAACUCUGAUGGGGGAUGAGAAAAGACCCUUUCUCUACUCCUUUUCCCUUAUCCAUUCUUGACCCCCAACACCCCUCCACACAACAUAGGAACACACACAACUUUCUAUGCCUGUCAAUCCUCACCCCGCCACCAGGCAGGAAGGGGGUGGUCCUUAUUGGGCCAAGGAACGAUGGAUACUUGGGAAAGCAGACAGGAGCAGAUCCAGGGCCUCUGCGCCUGCCGUCUCCCUUUUUUAUAUGCAGUUUGUUAUUGUCGAAUAAAAGUAGAACUUACACAACA